rnacentral:rRNA from 1 species
UUCCUACGGGAGGCAGCAGUGGGGAAUAUUGGGCAAUGGACGCAAGUCUGACCCAGCAACGCCGCGUGAAGGAAGAAGGCUUUCGGGUUGUAAACUUCUUUUAAGGGGGAAGAGCAGAAGACGGUACCCCUUGAAUAAGCCACGGCUAACUACGUGCCAGCAGCCGCGGUAAUACGUAGGUGGCGAGCGUUAUCCGGAAUGAUUGGGCGUAAAGGGUGCGCAGGCGGUCCUGCAAGUCUGGAGUGAAACGCAUGAGCUCAACUCAUGCAUGGCUUUGGAAACUGGAGGACUGGAGAGCAGGAGAG